CUUUGUUUUUCCAGCUUUGGAGGAGGACCACCACUUAAGACCAGUGUUUACAAAAAGAGUUUAGCCUGUUUGUGACUUUUCACUAUGUCUCUUGGGGGAGCUUCAUUCGCAAGUAAAGAGUCCCCUGGGUGGGAGUGUGUUCUUCGACCCCGGUUCGGAGGAGGAAGCUCCGCCUCCCCUCAGCAGCUACCUUUGUUUGACUAUUUUCACCUGUUUUUGUCCCGCAUACCCCGUCAACAUCGUGGCCCUGAUCUUCUCGAUCAUGUGGCUUCUGACUCUCAGUCUAGGAGCAGCUAUUAUCAGGGUGACUACGAUGGGUCGAGGCGGCUGGGCAGGAACGCUCUUUAUGUGGCUGUGGCCUCCAUCAUCAUCGGCCUUCUCAUCAUCGCCAUCUCCUGCAUCGUUCAUUUUACCGCUGGGGAUUUUUGAUGCUGUGGAGGUGGAGAGUGGGGGAGAACGCUGCAGGAUAAUAUGGGCUCAGCUGGUUCGUUCAUACUGCACCAUCUGCCAGCGAAAGGACUACGACGCCUGACGUUUACUUCCAUCUGUACAUCACUUUGUCUCGGGUUGAACAUUCUGCACGUGGACAAUCACACACUAUACAACAUGGUGAAUGUGAGCGUUUCAGGAAUGAACACCAACAAUGCUUUAAAUAUAAAAAGACAGCUUUCGACAAACGUUUUUGUCAGGCUUUGACUUUUAUUAGAAAGAUGCCUGUUGUAAUUUAUCAAGAAUAGUGACAAUAACUUGUCUAUAACUGAUCAGAAUACCUAUUAUAUAUAUUAAAAAUACUAUUUCUCCUUAAAUUAUGUUUAGUUUUAUUAGAAAAAAUUGAAUUGUUUAAUUCCACAACCUUUUGGUUGAUUGUUAUUAUAAUAUCUCAUUAAUAAAUUGAUUAGCAAAAACUGCUAAAGUUUGAAAGACGUGGAAAUUGAAUUGGCAGUUUCUGAGAGGUCGACACUACUUAGUUAUUUGCACAAUGGGAAACAGGAUGGAGCUGUUUUCUAAUAAUAACCCGUACCUGGGGUUAAAGGUCAGCACCAGCCUUUGUAGCUUCAUUUUAAUUACCGUAUAUUCCGGACUAUAAGCCGCUACUUUUCUCCCACGCUUUGAACCCCGUAAGGGCGGCUGAGUCAGAUUCACAAAUAUAUGAAUUCAACUAAGUAGCAUAAGUUCACCAUUCAACUGGCUGCUUGCACUUCGACUACUGGUUAUGUUUCAUAUCCCGUAUCGUAUAUUCUUUUAUAAUACGGGGCAGAUGAAAUCAAGCGUUCUGAUUGGUUGAUGAUUGGUGCCGCUUAUAUUCAGGUGCGCUCUAUUGUCUGGAAUUUACGGGAGUAAAUUGUUCAACUACUCCUCUAACAUUAUACUAAUAAACAAUUUGACCUUUUCUAUGUCACAUUAGAUGU
ensembl:lncRNA